CUUUGCUGGCGACCGGCGCACGGGUGAGUAACACGUAUCCAACCUGCCCUUUACUCGGGGAUAGCCUUUCGAAAGAAAGAUUAAUACCCGAUAGCAUAAUGAUUCCGCAUGGUUUGAUUAUUAAAGAAUUUCGGUUAUCGAUGGGGAUGCGUUCCAUUAGGCAGUUGGUGGGGUAACGGCCCACCUAGUCUUCGAUGGAUAGGGGUUCUGAGAGGAAGGUCCCCCACAUUGGAACUGAGACACGGUCCAA
rnacentral:rRNA from 1 species